GACGAACGCUGGCGGCGUGCUUAACACAUGCAAGUCGAACGGAAAGGCCCCUUUGGGGGUACUCGAGUGGCGAACGGGUGAGUAACACGUGAGUAACCUGCCCUUGACUUCGGGAUAACUUCAGGAAACUGGGGCUAAUACCGGAUAGGAAUCCUUGCUGCAUGGUGGGGGUUGGAAAGCUUCGGCGGUUUUGGAUGGACUCGCGGCUUAUCAGCUUGUUGGUGGGGUAGUGGCUUACCAAGGCGUUGACGGGUAGCCGGCCUGAGAGGGCGACCGGCCACAUUGGGACUGAGAUACGGCCCAGACUCCUACGGGAGGCAGCAGUGGGGAAUAUUGCACAAUGGGCGGCAGCCUGAUGCAGCAACGCCGCGGGCGGGAUGACGGCCUUCGGGUUGUAAACCGCUUUCAGCAGGGGCGAAGCUUGUGGUGACGGUACCUGCAGAAGAAGCACCGGCUAACUACGUG
rnacentral:rRNA from 1 species